rnacentral:rRNA from 1 species
CCUACGGGAGGCCGCAGUGGGGAAUAUUGGGCAAUGGGCGCAAGCCUGACCCAGCAACGCCGCGUGAAGGAAGAAGGCUUUCGGGUUGUAAACUUCUUUUAUGAGGGAAGAGCAGAAGACGGUACCUCUUGAAUAAGCCACGGCUAACUACGUGCCAGCAGCCGCGGUAAUACGUAGGUGGCAAGCGUUGUCCGGAUUUACUGGGGGUAAAGGGCGUGCAGCCGGGAAGACAAGUCAGAUGUGGAAUCCCGCGGCUCAACCGCGGAACUGCAUUUGAAACUGGUUUUCUUGAGUACCGGAGAGGUCAUCGGAAUUCCGUGUGUAGCGGUGAAAUGCGUAGAUAUAAGGAAGAACACCAGUGGCGAAGGCGGAUGACUGGACGGCAACUGACGGUGAGGCGCGAAAGCGUGGGGAGCAAACAGGAUUAGAUACCCCGGUAGUC